GGAGGCUUCGCCUAGUCUGGUCUAUGGCGCCGCACUGCUAAUGCGGUUUGGGCUUUACCGCCCAUCGAGGGUUCAAAUCCCUCAGCCUCCG
rnacentral:tRNA from 1 species